AGAACUUGCCUGCCCUCAAGACACCUUCCUCUUACUCCACUCCAAUUGUUACCCCUAAAAGUAAACAUGAUUUUUUAAGAAAUGUAAAUGUUGUGUUAUUAUUAUUGUUUUUAUUGAGAUAUAAUCCACACAUAACAUUAUAUUAGUUUUAGGUGCACAAAAGUAAUUUGAUAUUUGUGUAUAUUGCAAAAAGAUCAUCACUAAUAAGUUAACAUCUGUCACCGUAGGUAGUUAACAAAAGGUUUUUUCUUGUAAUGAGAAUAAACAAGCUCUUUUCUUGAAAACCAAAAAUUUGUUUAAACAUUCUUUGUAUGCUGAUUCUUGAAAGUAAUUAACAUAUUGCAAAUUUCUUUCCAGAUCAGUGUGUGUAAACAUCCAUCAAGAUCACUGAAAAUUAAUAAUAUGCCACUUAAUGUGAUAUAUAAAAGAGUCAUAGAAAUCAACUUCCUGGAUCAAAGAAGAUCUGAGAAAGGUCACACCUUGAGUACCUUGAGAAAGGUCUCUGAAGAGAAGUCCAUCUGCUACAUCUCCUGGUUCCCCCAGCCACUUGCUCAUCAACUUGUUCUGGAAGUCACUGUCUGCCUGUGAUUCUCUCUUCCAUUCCCUGAAAUCUGUUCACCCUGCAUGGCUGGGGCUCUAUCUCCUUCCCUGUGAUUUAUCACCACAACACCUCUUGCCGUUCUACUCUUUCAUUUGUCUGCUUUCAAUAAUUAUUUAAGCUUUAUUAGAUAUUUAUCAAGUAAACUGUCAGCUUCUGAAGUUUGCUUAUUGUAGCCAGAGGUUUAGAAGGGCAAUUUAUAUGCAUCUCAGAGCUCACACGGCAAAUCCUCUCUCCGGAUUGAAAUUAUGAUAUGAACAGGAUGUUUUAUGAGAUAAUAGAAGGAAGGUUUCAAAUUCUAGGGUUGGAUAUGUUGGAAUUUUUUUUCUCCCUCUGAGCUUUCCUGAGAAAGAAAUAUGUAAGUAGCUCGGAUGGCCAGGGAUCGGAGGAAAGGAGGGUGUGGAAAUGCGCUCAUUGUGGGGAGAAGAAACAGAUGAAUGGUCCGGUUCAGAUGGCCUUAAAAUUCAUGAGGUUCCAUGCAAGCCAAGUUAAACACCUCUGGGCUCUGUAGGCUACGUAGCUCCCUGAACUCCGCCGAGAUGGUAGAUUUAUCAGGCUGUAGGGCACUGCAGGGGUGCCACCAGCCAGGGGAGAGCUCGGGCUAGAUGUUAGAUGAAGUUGCAACAGGAUAGGUGAGCAUCCUGAACCAGAACGCAGGCAGUGGGAUGCAUUCAGAUGGCGGCCUUUGAAGAGGAUGAAAGCCACAGGGCUAGGCUAGCAUGAUAGGAGUCGCACAGUCUUUUUAUUUCUGUUUCCAGUUUGAGAUAACCCUGAAGGGGUAGGUAUUUUUAAUACCAUAGUUUUUAUAUGUAGAAACCAAAGCACCAACAACUCACUGAAGAAGACAUCUGUUGUUUUUGCUUGUCUGGCAUCUAUUCCACCCCUGGUUUUGGCAACAGCAGCCAGAGUUUCUUUGCGGAGGGGGAAAUCAUCCAUCCUCCUUUCUCAGUUCAUGAAGUUGGGGAUGGAUCUAUCCUGCCUCCAGCUUCA
ensembl:lncRNA